AGAGUUUGAUCAUGGCUCAGGACGAACGCUGGCGGCGUGCUUAACACAUGCAAGUCGAGCGGUAAGGCCCCUUCGGGGGUACACGAGCGGCGAACGGGUGAGUAACACGUGAGUAACCUGCCCCAUUCUUCGGAAUAACCAGUGGAAACGCUGGCUAAUGCCGAAUAUGACCAUCGAAGGCAUCUUCUGGUGGUGGAAAGCUCCGGCGGAGUGGGAUGGACUCGCGGCCUAUCAGCUUGUUGGUGAGGUAACGGCUCACCAAGGCGACGACGGGUAGCCGGCCUGAGAGGGUGACCGGCCACACUGGGACUGAGACACGGCCCAGACUCCUACGGGAGGCAGCAGUGGGGAAUAUUGGACAAUGGGCGAAAGCCUGAUCCAGCAACGCCGCGUGAGGGAUGACGGCCUUCGGGUUGUAAACCUCUUUCAGCAGGGACGAAGCGAAAGUGACGGUACCUGCAGAAGAAGGACCGGCCAACUACGUGCCAGCAGCCGCGGUAAUAC
rnacentral:rRNA from 1 species